GACGAACGCUGGCGGCGUGCUUAACACAUGCAAGUCGAACGGAAAGGCCCUGCUUGCAGGGUACUCGAGUGGCGAACGGGGGAGUAACACGUGGGUGUUCUGCCCUGCACUUCGGGAUAAGCCUUGGAAACUGUGUCUAUUACCGGAGAGGAGCGCUUCUUAUUGAGGUGGUUGGAUAGUUUUUUGGGUGUGGGGGGGGCUCGCGGGCUGUCAGUUUGUUGGUGGGGUGAUGGCCUACCAAGGCGGCGGCGGGUGGCCGGCCUGAGAGGGUGGACGGCCACAAUGGGAAUGGGAUAACGCCCAGACCCCUACCGGAGGGCGGAGGGGGGGAUGUUGCCCCAUGGGGGCGAGGCCGAUGGAAGGAAGCCGCGUGGGGGAUGACGGCCUUCGGGUUGUAAACUCCUUUCGCUAGGGACGAAGCUUUUUGUGACGGUACCUAGAUAAGAAGCACCGGCUAACUACGUG
rnacentral:rRNA from 1 species